GCGGAGGUUGCCAAGCUAGGUCAAAGGCGCGAGACCGAGGACCUCGUUCUGUAGAGAUUCGCGCGUUCGAAUCGCGCCCUCCGCACCA
rnacentral:tRNA from 1 species